rnacentral:rRNA from 1 species
UACGUAGGGGGCUAGCGUUGUCCGGAAUCAUUGGGCGUAAAGAGCGUGUAGGCGGUCCGGUAAGUCCGCUGUGAAAGUCGGGGGCUCAACCCUCGAAUGCCGGUGGAUACUGUCGGGCUAGAGUGCGGAAGAGGCGAGUGGAAUUCCUGGUGUAGCGGUGAAAUGCGCAGAUAUCAGGAGGAACACCCGUAGCGAAGGCGGCACUCUGGGCCGAUACUGACGCUGAGGAGCGAAAGCGUGGGGAGCGAACAGG